rnacentral:rRNA from 1 species
GAAUUUAAUAUAUUUUAGUUAAAUGAAUUUAUAAGAUUAAAAUAAUUAAUAGUAUUUAAUUGGGAGGAUUAUUAAAUUUAAUGAACUUUAAAUAAAAGUUUAGAUGUGAAUUAAUAUAUAAAAUUUUUUUGAAUGAUUAUUAAAUUAAAGUAGAAUUAAUUACCUUAGGGAUAACAGCGUGAUAUUUUUAUGAAGAUCUUAUUGAUAAAGAUGAUUGC